CCCUUAGAUGUUCUGGGCCGCACACGCGCUACACUGAAGGAGGCAGCGUGUACUCCUGGAUCGAAAGAUUUGGGUAACCCGCGAAUCUCCUUCGUGCUAGGGAUUGAGGUUUGCAAUUAUCCUUCAUGAACGAGGAAUUCCCAGCAAGUGCAAGUCAUAAGCUUGCGCUGACUACGUCCCUGCCCUUUGUACACACCGCCCGUCGCUACUACCGAUUGAAUGAUUUAGUGAGGACUUCGGACUGGGACCGAUGCGGCUUUCGGGCUGCGUCGGUAUUCUGGAAAGAUGUCCAAACUGUAUCAUUUAGAGGAAGUAAAAGUCGUAACA
rnacentral:rRNA from 1 species